AAGUGUUACAGCUCUUUUAGAGUUUGUCUGGCAGGUUUUCUGGUCCUCACUGGAAGGUCUCC
ensembl:snRNA U7 U7 small nuclear RNA